AUCGCUUUGGUCGAGUACCUCGACUAUCAGAUACCCGUUUCUCAGAUCAGUUCCAAAUGUAAGAAACAACGUAUUUGGGCAACAAAUUUGGUAUUUGGAAUUAUGUAAAAACUGCUACAUUCGCAUCCUACUCUGCCGAUAGCGCAUCCCAAAUCAAAGGUGAUUUGCAAACCAUCAAUGAGACAAUUUAUGUCCUCGUCUCGCCACAAAACCGUUUUAGUUGCUUCAACUAUUUUUUUUGGAAAACUUGUCACAACUGGAUGUAACCGUUAAUAAUUAAAAUGCCUUAAAAAUAUUAAAAAUACUAAGCAAGAAUACGCUUUAUAAGAAAAAUUAAAACUUUUCUAUGUACCAUUCAAAUUAGCAUUGCCUGACUAUCAGAUACCCGUUACUCUUGGAAGGGGGUGCGAGGGAGAUGGAGAUAGCAGCAAAGCGACUGUUUCCAAGAUUGCACACCACGCCUCCCCAUAACUAUGGGGAAUUUCACAAAAACCGAUUUUAUAAAAGUCGUUAAAGUAGUUUUGUUAAUCUGAAUGUAUUAGGAUAACGUCCAUCUAGAAUGUGACUAACGGAAAAGUUUAACAGUGCGCACCACUGUUAAGUUAUCAGCUGUGAAAGCCUGUUU